rnacentral:rRNA from 1 species
CAGUCGCCGCGGGAAUACAGAGGGUGCAAGCGUUAAUCGGAUUUACUGGGCGUAAAGGGCGCGUAGGUGGUUAUUUAAGUGAGAUGUGGAAGCCCUGGGCUUAACCUGGGAACUGCAUCUUAUACUGGGUAACUGGAGUGCAGUAGAGGGUAGUGGAAUUUCCGGUGUAGCGGUGAAGUGCGUAGAUAUCGGAAGGAACACCGAUGGCGAAGGCAAUCCCCUGGACCUGUACUGACGCUCAUGCACGAAAGCGUGGGGAGCGAACAGGAUUAGAUACCCGCGUAGUCCCUGUCUCUUAUAA